AUUUAAGAAUAGUUUAUGAGUCAUGAAUAAUUUGGUACACUGAAUAAAAAGAAUACAUUGAUUAAAAAAAAAUGUUUCAUGCAACAACAGUGAUAUAAUUGAAUUACCAUUCUAUAAUGAAGUUAUUUAUUUCAUUCUAGUCCAUAUCCAUUUUUUCAGAACAUAUUGAUUAUUUUUUUAACUCAAACAAGUAUGCAGACAUUAGUAGAAUAUAACAUCACUUGGAAUUGUUUUCUGAUUUCUGGCCUAAUAUAUCCCAUUUGUUGGUUAUUGUCUUACUGAGUUCCAAUCAAAGGCAAAGGGCAGUUGUUUUGAUGGGGCUCCCCUACUAUCUAAAAGAUGUGGCCAAACUUUACAAGAAAGUACAGGUCACAGAUGCAGAGGAGGACUGGACAAAGGGGAUGGCAGUCGGUAUCCUUAUGGUGGAACAGAAUGAUCGGUUGGUUUCGCAGUGGUCCUCGAGGAAGAAAUCAUCUUUCCAAGCAUCAGUGAUUUUCCAACUGCUGUGGCACUGCUAAUGGGUCUGCUCUUUGCCCUCAACAUAGACUACCCCAGAGGCCUUAGGUAUACUUUUGAGGUAAUUCAGAAGGUGCUUAUGGACAUUGGUGGAGGGCAAUGCUCUGCAUUGGUUCAUGGGUUAAAAACCGACUCUUGAGAAAGAAAAAGUAAGCUUAAUAGCUUCUUUUUACAUUGUUGUUAGUUUUGAUGCAUUUUUUCUAAAUGCACAUUGUUCCGUUUAUGUUUUGUUAAACUAUUUGUAAUUUUAGCUAGCAUUCAACAAUUUACAAGUUUUAACAUUUUACUGCUUUUUGAGAAGAUUUCAUAGAGAGAGGUAGCGAGAGAUGUAGGUUGCUGGAGAGAGAUAGGUAGGUAGCUUGAGAGAGGUAGGUAGAGAGAGGGAGGUAGGUAGGUAGGUAGGUAGGUAGAGAGAGGGAGGUAGGUAGGUAGGUAGGUAGAGAGAGGGAGGUAGGUAGGUAGGUAGGUAGGUAGAGAGAGGGAGGUAGGUAGGCAGAGAGAGGUAGGUAGAGAGAGAGAGGUAGGUAGAGAGAGGGAGGUAGGUAGGUAGAGAGAGGUAGGUAGAGAGAGGGAGGUAGGUAGGUAGAGAGAGGGAGGUAGGUAGCUGGAGAGAGAGGUAGGUAGGUAGGUAGGUAGCUGGAGAGAGGUAGGUAGAGGGAGGUAGGUAGGUAGCUGGAGAGAGGUAGGUAGAGGGAGGUAGGUAGCUGGAGAGAGGUAGGUAGGUAGCUGGAGAGAGGUAGGUAGGUAGCUGGAGAGAGGUAGGUAGGUAGCUGGAGAGAGGGAGGUAGGUCGCUGGAGAGAGGGAGGUAGGUCGCUGGAGAGAGAGAGAGGUAGGUAGGUAGCUGGAGGUUGGUAGGUAAGGAGAGAGAGGUAGAUAGGUAGGUAAGGAGAGAGAGGUAGAUAGGUAGGUAAGGAGAGAGAGGUAGGUAGGUAAGGAGAGAGAGGUAGGUAGGUAGGUAAGGAGAGAGAGGUAGGUAGGUAAGGAGAGAGAGGUAGGUAAGGAGAGAGAGGUAGGUAGCUAGGGAGGGAGGUAGGUAGCUGGAGAGAGAGGUAGGUAGGUAGAUAGCUGGAGAGAGAGAGGUAGGUAGGUAAGGAGAGAGAGGUAGGUAGCUGGAGAGAGAGGUAGGUAGAGAGAGGGGUAGCGAGAGAGGUAGGUAGAGAGAGAGAGAGGGUUAGCGAGAGAGGGGUAGCGAGAGAGGUAGGUAGAGAGAGAGGGGUAGCGAGAGAGGUAGGUAGAGAGAGAGAGGUAGCGAGAGAGGUAGGUAGAAAGAAGGGUAGCGAGAGAGGUAGGUAGAGAGAGAGAGAGAGAGAGAGAGAGAGAGAGAGAGAGAGGGAGAGAGAGAGAGAGAGAGAGAGAGAGAGAGAGAGAGGGGUAGCGAGAGAGGUAGGUAGGUAGGUAGAGAGGUAGGUAGGUAGGUAGAGAGAGGUAGGUAGGUAGGUAGGUAGGUAGGUAGGUAGGUAGGUAGGUAGGUAGGUAGGUAGAGAGGUAGGUAGGUAGAGAGAGAGGUAGGUAGGUAGGUAGGUAGGUAGGUAGGUAGGUAGGUAGGUAGGGAGAGAGAGGUAGGUAGGUAGGUAGAGAGAGGUAGCAGGAGAGAGAGAAGGAUAGAGGUAGCAGGAGAUGGAGAUAGAGCAAAAGAGAUUUCUAAACUAUUUGUAUUCAGUGGGCGUCCAUCAACCUUAUCUUUGUUUACGGUACAUUUUGAAAACGGCGCAUGACAUUUCUUUUGAGAGGUGAAGUAUCCACUUCAGGGGUGAAGUUGAAACUUUGUUCGACUUUCACUUGAUUCAGAUGUGAAGUUCAUACUUUGUCACAUUUUCACUUGUUUUUGAGGUGAAGUUGAGCUAAUUACUGAGUGUUCCUGAAAGUGACAGUUUGUGUGGGAUAAUCGCUCAUCAAUAUCCCUCUUUGUUGUGUUUUGUUGAAAAAAAAAUAAUACAAUAAAACUGUUGGUCAGCGA
ensembl:lncRNA